GGCGAACGGGUGAGUAACACGUGGGCAACCUGCCCUGCACUCUGGGAUAAGCCCGGGAAACUGGGUCUAAUACCGGAUACGACACACGGAGGCAUCUUGGGGUGUGGAAAGUUCCGGCGGUGCAGGAUGAGCCCGCGGCCUAUCAGCUUGUUGGUGGGGUAAUGGCCUACCAAGGCGACGACGGGUAGCCGGCCUGAGAGGGUGACCGGCCACACUGGGACUGCGACACGGCCCAGACUCCUACGGGAGGCAGCAGUGGGGAAUAUUGCACAAUGGGCGAAAGCCUGAUGCUGCUACGCCGCGUGAGGGAUGCCGGCCUUCGGGUUGUAAACCUCUUUCUCCAGGGAACAAGCUAAAGCGACGGUACCUGCAUACGAAGCACCGGCUAACUACGAGCCUGCAGCCCCGGUACCUCCUAUGGUGCGAGCGUUGUCCGGAAUUCCUGUUGCGA
rnacentral:rRNA from 1 species